rnacentral:rRNA from 1 species
GUGCUGAGUGGCGGACGGGUGAGUAACGCGUGGGUACCUGCCUUAUACAGGGGGAUAACAGUUAGAAAUGACUGCUAAUACCGCAUAAGAUUGCAUGAUAAAAACUCCGGUGGUAUAAGAUGGACCCGCGUCUGAUUAGCUGGUUGGUGAGGUAACGGCCCACCAAGGCGACGAUCAGUAGCCGACCUGAGAGGGUGACCGGCCACAUUGGGACUGAGACACGGCCCAAACUCCUACGGGAGGCAGCAGUGGGGAAUAUUGCACAAUGGGGGAAACCCUGAUGCAGCGACGCCGCGUGAGCGAAGAAGUAUUUCGGUAUGUAAAGCUCUAUCAGCAGGGAAGAAAAAAAUGACGGUACCUGACUAAGAAGCCCCGGCUAACUACGUGCCAGCAGCCGCGGUAAUACGUAGGGGGCAAGCGUUAUCCGGAUUUACUGGGUGUAAAGGGAGCGCAGGCGGUGCGGCAAGUCUGAUGUGAAAGCCCGGGGCUCAACCCCGGGACUGCAUUGGAAACUGUCGUACUUGAGUAUCGGAGAGGUAAGUGGAAUUCCUAGUGUAGCGGUGAAAUGCGUA